GUGGUGCUCCUGAACAUGGAGAGGAGCUCAGGAAACCCAGGACCAGCCAGCUGUCCCCCUUACAGAGGGAAAAUUGAAAGAGCCAGCUAACGGGUCUCAGUGUGGUAGGUGGAUAACUCCCAGCAGAGGCAGAGACGGAGACGGGGGAUCACAGAGCCCAGAGGCAGGGCUCCAAGCUCAGGGAUGGGUUCGUGGUGGUUUCCCAGACACGGCAAGGUUGAGUAAUUUGAGGAGCUGAGUCAUAGGACUCAGCUAGGACUAAUUAGUCAUAGGAUGUCACUGAAGUCCAUCCAGAGGCACAAUGUCACACCCCGGGAGCCACGCGUCACCUGAAGGCUGAGGCCCUCACCUUCCUCUCUGACCACAUACUGGCCCCUCACUCACUCCGCAGGGGCUCCCCGAGUUCUCUGCGGCUCAGACUCGCCCGGCGUACUCCUCCCACCUGAGGGCUUGGCAUGACUGUCCCCCCAGGUCUCCACAUGGAUAAUACCCUCACUUCUUCCAAGUCUGCCCGCCUGUCUCUUCCCAGUGUGGCCAGCCCAGGUCACCCCCACCAGCAACACCCCAAAUCCUCUUUCCUCUCUCCCUCGCAGCUCUUUGCACCUUCCUACACAUCCUGGAAUCCAUGUGCUAACUUCGCAGUUUCUCAGAAGUCACCCCACCGGAACAGACGCUUCACGAGGGAUAGCUGUGUGUCGGCUCUGAUCCUGCCCCAGCCCUUGACCCUGCCUGGCCAGGAGGCAUUCAGCUGACAUCUGUGAAAUGAAUGAACGAAGCAGCCGGCUGGGGACGGCCACUGUGAGCACAGACCUGUCGGAUUGUCCCCCAGAUAUAAGCCACAUCAACAAAAGCUCUUUGGGACCAUCAGGAAUGUGAGUGAAAAGGGAUCCUGAAAACAAAAAGGUCGAGAACUACGGCGUGACACCAAGCCAGGCUGCUCCAUCCCGGAGGCCCCACAGGGUUUCAGAAGAGGGCAACUUGGCCAUUUAGACUGGAACGUUCUUCCUGCCCAGCACAGGACUGUCCAUGUUGCAAGGUGUACAGCAACUCUGCUUGAACCUCCAAAAUACCAGGAGGCUCCCCAGUGGAAUUGCUCGGGAGCCACGGCUCUCUGGAUUUCCACUGGCUGCUGGAAUGCGGGGAGCCCCUGGGUUUCCACAGAGGGUGGGCAUUCUGUUCCCCUCCCAGUCCAACGACCCUCUGAGUGCCACGGAGACAUGCGGUUCCUUCAAACCCGGGAGUUCCGUGAAAUUUUGGAAGUCUGCGGUGCCCUGGUAACCAGGGCACAUGACCUACAGACGUUUGCAGACAACCAGAAUUUCAAGAUGCUUGUUUGUGCCGUAGGCACAGAUGUUUCCCCUGGGAAUUACUGACACCCCGAUUUCAUGAAUGGACUUGAAGUCAGCCUGAGGCUCCAGGCCAGCCUGUGCACAGCAGCUGGAGCUCCUUCCUUAACUGUUCCCAGAACACCACUCCCAAGAAAGCAAGGCCCUGAGAACGUCUCUCCCUCACGUCACCAACGGCUCCACUGUCCCGGCUUCGUGUCCCCGCCUUAGUGUCUCCAGCCCUCCUGCACUUGUCACCAUCACUCCUCGUGCCUCCCUGACCUGCACGCUGGGCCCAGCUGUAAGCAGAGCCACUUGCCAUCACAAGAUCCCACUGCUGCUGCCCCCAGGCCUUUGCACGGUCCCUCUCCUAGUCCCAGCAGGAUUGUCUUCCAGCUCUUGUUCCCGAGUCUGCCUUCAAAGUCAGAAUUGGUAACAGAUGGCAAGAACCCUAAAAAACAUUUUCAGAAUCUCUCUCUUGGGAGCUUAUGCUAAAGAUAUAGUCCAAAUGAAGGAAAAUGUUCAAAGCAUAAAGAUGUUCGACAUAGUGCUGUUUAUAACAAUGAUGAUGAUAUACACUGACAUAUAUUAUACACAAAUACACAGUAACAGAGAUGGUUAGGUAAAAUGGUACGGCCACUUGAUGGAACAUUCUACGGUCAUAGAGUAUGACACAUGUGCAGGGCAACUCCAGAAACUCUUCCACAGUGACCCCUCCUUGACCCGGGGACUGGGGCUUCAGUGGAGAAGGAGACAGCCCCUGCCCUCAAGGAGGUUCCAGUUAAGUCACUGUCCAUCUGCUGUGGUUUCCAAGUGCCAGGAGCCAAUUCCAUUCUAUUCAACCAGCAGAAGGAGCAGAUUUAUCUCCCCGGCCCCAAGGCCUUUCCUUCCUUCUCCUUUUCUGACGGCCAAUCCCCCAGCACAUAGGGUAUUUAUAGUGCCUGUGAGAAAGUGUUCACAUGAAGACCAUUGAGCAAUGUGGGGAUGCGUCCCUUCCUCGCCUGGCCCUUGGACAGAGUACACAGGACAUGAUUGCCAAAUAAAUUUCAGACAGGCUGGCUCUGGUUCCCUCCCAUGUCGUUCUUCCUCCCAUGAUCCACAUCACAAACGGUGGUGAGCUGUUUUAACAGGGCACGCUCACAUUAACCCGAAGCACACAGAUCUAUAAACAGCAGGUGUUCUGGCAAGCACACAGGCAAAGCUGUGAGCAACAGAGAAGGUGGCCAGUCCCAGAGUUAAAGGACCAGGAGCCCCCAACAUGGGAUCCCCUCCAUUUCCAGUUCUGCAAAAGCUGGAGGCAGAGGUCGGGGGCGGAGUACAAGGCCAAGUGAAGCCUAAGGCAGCUGAAGAAGAGAGGAAGACUCCCCAAGACGGCCCAGGCCUGUGUCCGGCCCACGGAGUGGUCAGCAGGCUGUAUGCCAUAUUGAUCAAACCAGCAGCCGGGGCUGGCUGUGUGCUGCUAAGACAAGUGGUCAGACUGUGCGUGCCUUCAGAUAUCCAUUCUCAGCCCUGGAGAUGCAAAGAGGCACCUGGCACAGGUGGGUCCUCAAUAGGUCCCCAUAAGGAAUGAAGCACACAGUCCCGUUGCCCAAGGGGCUCCCAGUCUGAUAGGGAAAACACAGGCCACGCACAACAAGCAGUGGUCAGCGGGAGGCAGGGGGAAGAUGGGGUGCGCGGGGGAAGGGUUCCCCAAAGAGAUGCUUGAGUUGAGUUUUGAAAGAGGGAUGAUAAUUCAACCACGAAGGUGGGAAGAGAAGGGCGUUCCAGGUGGAGGGACAAGCACAUGCAAGUCAUAUUUUCCAAGUCCUGGGGACAUGAAAGUUCCUGCAUUUGGAGUGACUGUUAUUUAGGGUGAUGAGAACAGAGGUUAUAGCUACAGCUGUGUCUGUAUCUCUAUCGAUGUCUCUAGCCAUAGUCACGUCUCUGUCAGUGUAAGUGUCUGACAAUUAGCUUUCCUGAUCAUAAUUCUAUCCAUUUCAAAGACAUCCAUCUCUAAUGAACACACUGCCAGCUGCGCAGCGAGAUAGAGCCAGGCCGCCCCACCCAUGAAGUUCCCUUUAGAAAGCUCCGGGUGGCCUAGAUAACUGACUACGUGAGAGAAGUUUUCUGAAACUUCCUGUGCCCUAAUUCCCCUCUUCUGUUACGAACCCAGCAAGAAAGAGGGAUCCAGUAAGACUCUAGACACCCCAAUAAAGGCGGAUUCCCAGGUCCACACUGUCUCUCUACCUGCGACCUCGCUGUCUGGCCCUGGUGGCCCGUGUCCCCCGCAGGACCUGUGAGGAAUAAAUCUUGCGUUUUCAAAGUCCCCGGAUGCUUGUUGCUGAGUGCAUCCUACAAUCAUAAGGAGAACCACAGACACUAGACCAGCCACAGUGGUGAUGAAGAAACAGAUCGAGAGAGGUCAUAUGGCCUGCCCAUGGAACAGCACGAAGCAGAAGCACGAUUCGAACUCAGGCCAUCUGCCAUCACAGUCCACACACAACGUUACUCUUAAAACCUCUCUGAGAUUAGCAGAAGGUGGAGUGGGGCUGGGAGCACAGAGAUAAGGCCGGGGAUCCCGGGGGGCUCAGGUCACGGUGAGCCUUGUCCGUCCUGCUAUGGAAUCUGGACUCUGUCCCAUGGCCAUAAGGGACACGGGCAUGAAAACAGGAAGGACACGACUGGAUGCCCUUCAGGAACAAUGGUUAUUGGUAACGCCCAAAUGCUUAUCAGACGGGCACAAUGAGAGUAAAAACUGGUCUUCUGAGGAUGACUCAGUCUGUACGCUUGACUUGUAAAAGCACCUUCCACGCUUCCAGAGGCCCCACUCUCGCUGUGACACUAAGGGUGUCAAGGCCUCUGGGCCUGGCCGCAGCGGUCACUCCUGGAAUGUCCAUCUUUUCCUGGCAGAAAUGUCUUUGCUGUAGCCAGACGUCCUCUGGGAGCUGCCAGGAGAAGCCCUGCUCCUGUGGGCAGGAGCCUGUCCCCAUCAGCAGUGGAUUUGGUUCCAUAAACAGCGUGGCCCAGCCAUAAAUAAUAAUGACAACAUGUCUGUAUUUAUUCAGCGUUUCCCGUGGGCCAGGCAGGGGCCCAGCUUUGGGAGGCAUCAUCUCAUUUAAUCCUCACAAACCCUAGUUCCCUAGGUGGGUACCACAGUUGUCUCCUUUCUUACAGACGGGGAGUCUGAGCUGCACAGAGUGGGAGACCCGCCAAGCUCCAAGAACUGGAGGGGGCCCGCCAGGCUCAUUUUGUUCCAGGGCAUUGAACAGCUUGCACAUCUCCCCGGGGCGUGGGAGUUGGGACUGGCCCUCUUUAGCAAGAGGACACAUCUCAGCAGGUUAAGGACACACAGCUGGCAGGUGGAGAAACAUCUUGAAUCCAGGGCCCUCACUGUCUCCCUUCCAGCCCGGCUGUCGAUCAAGGAUGGACCUCUGAGCAGUGGGAGGGCCCACAUACUGCUGGCCGCCCUGAUGUUGCUAGAAGAUAGCAAGGAUGCAAGUUACACUUGCAAAGCCUGUUGCCGACAACUGUGGAGAGCCCGCCCUCUGAAGUCUGGAAGGUCUGUGAGUCCCCUGGUCCGUUUUACAAAUGAGACACCAGGGGCAGGAAGGGGCUGGAUCUGGGGGCACCGGGGACCGAUGGGGGCUUCUGGAAGAUACGUCUAGUGCGACACGGAGGGAGAAAAUACGGGCAGAGUGAGCACACAGAAUGCUGAUCUGUGAGCUACAUGAGAGCAGAAACCACGCUCCCUACUGCCGUAUCCCCACCACUGUACCCUCACAGCUGUUCCCCCACUGCUGUAGCCCCACCAUUGGGUGCCUAACAGGCACUCCACCAAAACUUGUUGCACGGAUGCGCAAACGAAUAAGCCUUUAUAACUGUCCAGGAGACGGAACAAAGGCUGUGAACACUGGUUAUAGUGAACACUUUGCCUUAUUUUCUCUGUAUUCCACCUUCGGAGCCAAUAAUCAAAGCAUUUCAACGAGCUGGUAAGAACUCUUUGUGUGGCUCAAACACACAUCAUUCUAUUCUAUGCAUGUACUUCAGCCACUCCCCAAUCUUGGCCACUCAGGGUGUUUCCAGGAUGUCGCUAUAAGAGGAUCAGGCAGCGAGGAUCAUGGCCAGGCAGUCCAGCAAGGAAAUUGGGCUCUGGAAGUAGACUGAGCGCCUUGAAAGCCCAGUUCCUCAGCUUAUGAGCUGUGCAUCUGUGGGUGAGUUACUCACCCACUCUGUGCCUCGGUUCCAUCAGCAGUAAAACGGGGAGAGCAACAGCAGCUAGCUCCCCGGCUGGCCGUGGGAGUUAAGGCUGUCAAUGUUUGGGACUGUCAGAAGAGUG